rnacentral:lncRNA from 1 species
UUACUCGUUGCUAAUUGUUCUACUAUUGAUCAAAUUACUGAUAUUUUUAAUAAGGGUUUAUCACCUGCUCGUUUCUCCUUACUCUGGUCUAAGCUGCCUGUGCUCCACCUCCCCAUUCGCUUGCGGGGGUGUAAUGGACUUGAAUCCUGAUCCGAUUCUGAUAUGAUUUACUUGCCUAAUUAUAUGUAUUUAUUUACUUGAUUCUUG